GAGGGGAUGGGUGAAGAGCAGAGCGGAGGGAAGGGCUGAGGGGAGGCUGAAGGCAAACCUGUGAUAAAGAAAAAGAAAAGAAAAAAUAAGAACAAAAAAUAUGAAAAAAGAGAAAAAAGAAAAAAGAAAAAUAAGAAAAAGAGAAAAAUGAAAAGAAAAAAAGAAAAAAUGAAUGAAAAAGAAAAAAAGAGUAAAGAAAAAAAAGAAAAUAAAAAAGAUAAAAAGAAAAGAAAAAAAAAGAGAAAAUGAAAUAAAAAAAGAGAAAAGAGAAAAAUAUGAAAAAAAGAAAAAAGAAAAAGAAAAAACUAAUAGAUGAAAACAAAAAAAGCAUACAAAAAACGAAAUGACAAGAGAAGAAAGGUAAAGAGAAAAGAAGAAAAAAAGCCAAGUGAAAAAGUAAAGAUAACUCAAAGGAAAGGAGUGGAUGGCGAAAUACAGAGAAAGCCAUGCAUAGCAAGCAAAGGAAAGCAAGGCAAAAUAGCAGCCAAAGCCACGAGAAUCAAGAAGUCAGUGAAGAGCAGGAAAGGAAUGGAGGACUCUGGCCAGAGCUGUGCCCCUGCUUGCCACAGGAGCUGCGCGGGAGGAGAAGAAUGUGGGCCAAAAGGAAUGGAGGACUCUGGCCAGAGCUGUGCCCCUGCUUGCCACAGGAGCUGCGCGGGAGGAGAAGAAUGUGGGCCAAAGGUAAGAGGAGCUCCUUUGGGUUCUGGGCUUGAAGCAAAGCUGAGAAGCCAUGCCCGGGAGGAGGGUGUGGGUAGCUACAGGCCAGCUUGCUAUCUCCCCAAGAGAUGA
rnacentral:lncRNA from 7 species